UUAAGUUAGAAAGGGCGCACGGUGGAUGCCUUGACACUAGGAGUCGAUGAAGGACGGGACUAACGCCGAUAUGCUUCGGGGAGCUGUAAGUAAGCUUUGAUCCGAAGAUUUCCGAAUGGGGAAACCCACCAUACGUAAUGGUAUGGUAUCCUUAUCUGAAUACAUAGGGUAAGGAAGACAGACCCAGGGAACUGAAACAUCUAAGUACCUGGAGGAAGAGAAAGCAAAUGCGAUUUCCUGAGUAGCGGCGAGCGAAACGGAACAUAGCCCAAACCAAGAGGCUUGCCUCUUGGGGUUGUAGGACAUUCUAUACGGAGUUACAAAGGAACGAGGUAGACGAAGCGACCUGGAAAGGUCCGUCGUAGAGGGUAACAACCCCGUAGUCGAAACUUCGUUCUCUCUUGAAUGUAUCCUGAGUACGGCGGAACACGUGAAAUUCCGUCGGAAUCUGGGAGGACCAUCUCCCAAGGCUAAAUACUCCCUAGUGAUCGAUAGUGAACCAGUACCGUGAGGGAAAGGUGAAAAGCACCCCGGAAGGGGAGUGAAAGAGAUCCUGAAACCGUGUGCCUACAAAUAGUCAGAGCCCGUUAACGGGUGAUGGCGUGCCUUUUGUAGAAUGAACCGGCGAGUUACGAUCCCGUGCGAGGUUAAGCUGAAGAGGCGGAGCCGCAGCGAAAGCGAGUCUGAAUAGGGCGUUUAGUACGUGGUCGUAGACCCGAAACCAGGUGAUCUACCCAUGUCCAGGGUGAAGUUCAGGUAACACUGAAUGGAGGCCCGAACCCACGCACGUUGAAAAGUGCGGGGAUGAGGUGUGGGUAGCGGAGAAAUUCCAAUCGAACCUGGAGAUAGCUGGUUCUCCCCGAAAUAGCUUUAGGGCUAGCCUUAAGUGUAAGAGUCUUGGAGGUAGAGCACUGAUUGGACUAGGGGUCCUCAUCGGAUUACCGAAUUCAGUCAAACUCCGAAUGCCAAUGACUUAUCCUUAGGAGUCAGACUGCGAGUGAUAAGAUCCGUAGUCAAAAGGGAAACAGCCCAGACCGCCAGCUAAGGUCCCAAAGUGUGUAUUAAGUGGAAAAGGAUGUGGAGUUGCUUAGACAACUAGGAUGUUGGCUUAGAAGCAGCCACCAUUUAAAGAGUGCGUAAUAGCUCACUAGUCGAGUGACUCUGCGCCGAAAAUGUACCGGGGCUAAAUACACCACCGAAGCUGCGGAUUGAUACCAAUGGUAUCAGUGGUAGGGGAGCGUUCUAAGGACAGUGAAGUCAGACCGGAAGGACUGGUGGAGUGCUUAGAAGUGAGAAUGCCGGUAUGAGUAGCGAAAGACGGGUGAGAAUCCCGUCCACCGAAUGCCUAAGGUUUCCUGAGGAAGGCUCGUCCGCUCAGGGUUAGUCAGGACCUAAGCCGAGGCCGACAGGCGUAGGCGAUGGACAACAGGUUGAUAUUCCUGUACCACCUCUUUAUCGUUUGAGCAAUGGAGGGACGCAGAAGGAUAGAAGAAGCGUGCGAUUGGUUGUGCACGUCCAAGCAGUUAGGCUGAUAAGUAGGCAAAUCCGCUUAUCGUGAAGGCUGAGCUGUGAUGGGGAAGCUCCUUAUGGAGCGAAGUCUUUGAUUCCCCGCUGCCAAGAAAAGCUUCUAGCGAGAUAAAAGGUGCCUGUACCGCAAACCGACACAGGUAGGCGAGGAGAGAAUCCUAAGGUGUGCGAGAGAACUCUGGUUAAGGAACUCGGCAAAAUGACCCCGUAACUUCGGGAGAAGGGGUGCUUUCUUAACGGAAAGCCGCAGUGAAUAGGCCCAAGCGACUGUUUAGCAAAAACACAGCUCUCUGCGAAGCCGUAAGGCGAAGUAUAGGGGGUGACACCUGCCCGGUGCUGGAAGGUUAAGGAGAGGGGUUAGCGUAAGCGAAGCUCUGAACUGAAGCCCCAGUAAACGGCGGCCGUAACUAUAACGGUCCUAAGGUAGCGAAAUUCCUUGUCGGGUAAGUUCCGACCCGCACGAAAGGUGUAACGAUUUGGGCACUGUCUCAACCAGAGACUCGGUGAAAUUAUAGUACCUGUGAAGAUGCAGGUUACCCGCGACAGGACGGAAAGACCCCGUGGAGCUUUACUGUAGCCUGAUAUUGAAUUUUGGUACAGUUUGUACAGGAUAGGCGGGAGCCAUUGAAACCGGAGCGCUAGCUUCGGUGGAGGCGCUGGUGGGAUACCGCCCUGACUGUAUUGAAAUUCUAACCUACGGGUCUUAUCGACCCGGGAGACAGUGUCAGGUGGGCAGUUUGACUGGGGCGGUCGCCUCCUAAAGUGUAACGGAGGCGCCCAAAGGUUCCCUCAGAAUGGUUGGAAAUCAUUCGUAGAGUGCAAAGGCAUAAGGGAGCUUGACUGCGAGACCUACAAGUCGAGCAGGGACGAAAGUCGGGCUUAGUGAUCCGGUGGUUCCGCAUGGAAGGGCCAUCGCUCAACGGAUAAAAGCUACCCCGGGGAUAACAGGCUUAUCUCCCCCAAGAGUCCACAUCGACGGGGAGGUUUGGCACCUCGAUGUCGGCUCAUCGCAUCCUGGGGCUGUAGUCGGUCCCAAGGGUUGGGCUGUUCGCCCAUUAAAGCGGUACGCGAGCUGGGUUCAGAACGUCGUGAGACAGUUCGGUCCCUAUCCGUCGUGGGCGUAGGAAAUUUGAGAGGAGCUGUCCUUAGUACGAGAGGACCGGGAUGGACGCACCGCUGGUGUACCAGUUGUUCUGCCAAGGGCAUAGCUGGGUAGCUAUGUGCGGAAGGGAUAAGUGCUGAAAGCAUCUAAGCAUGAAGCCCCCCUCAAGAUGAGAUUUCCCAUAGCGUAAGCUAGUAAGAUCCCUGAAAGAUGAUCAGGUUGAUAGGUUCGAGGUGGAAGCAUGGUGACAUGUGGAGCUGACGAAUACUAAUAGAUCGAGGACUUAACC
rnacentral:rRNA from 1 species